GGCUUCGACGGGGGUAAAGACUCGCGGGAUGCAUGCCGAGCACCAUUAACUCGUAAAUCUGAUGGAACAUCCCUUAAUUGCGGAUACUCAGUACGCUCUCGCAGCCUAAUUAAGCUGUGAGCGUCCGCCCUGACCUCGCCCGGUGGUUGGGGGCCGGAUGCCAUUUAAACGGGCUGGCGAUCAGGUGGCGGCUCGGCGCCUGAUGGUGAGACAAACCGGGUCUGGUGCCUGGCGGUACUUCGCCGCUUCCACACGUUGGGCACGAGAAAAACGAAGCGGACACGCAUGUAGAGUCCUUCGGGGACGUGCCUUCGGACGCGGGUUCAACUCCCGCCGCCUCCACCA
rnacentral:tmRNA from 1 species